UGGGGAAUUUUGGACAAUGGGCGCAAGCCUGAUCCAGCCAUGCCGCGUGCAGGAUGAAGGCCUUCGGGUUGUAAACUGCUUUUGUACGGAACGAAAAGGUGCCUUCUAAUAAAGGGCGCUCAUGACGGUACCGUAAGAAUAAGCACCGGCUAGCUACGUGCCAGCAGCCGCGGUAAUACGGAGGGUGCAAGCGUUAUCCGGAUUCACUGGGUUUAAAGGGUGCGUAGGUGGGUAUGUAAGUCAGUGGUGAAAUCCCCGAGCUUAACUUGGGAACUGCCAUUGAUACUAUAUAUCUUGAAUACCGUAGAGGUAAGCGGAAUAUGUCAUGUAGCGGUGAAAUGCUUAGAUAUGACAUGGAACACCAAUUGCGAAGGCAGCUUACUAUGCGGUGAUUGACACUGAGGCACGAAAGCGUGGGUAGCAAACA
rnacentral:rRNA from 1 species